rnacentral:rRNA from 1 species
UACGAAGGGGGCAAGCGUUGUCCGGAGUUACUGGGCGUAAAGCGCACGCAGGCGGUCUCUUAAGUUUGGAGUGACAGUUGGUGGCUUAACUGCCAAAGUGCUUCGAAAACUGAGAGACUUGAGGGCUUCAGAGGGACACGGAAUUCCGGGUGGAGUGGUGAAAUGCGUAGAGAUCCGGAGGAACACCAAAGGCGAAGGCAGUGUCCUGGGGAGUACCUGACGCUCAGGUGCGAAAGCCAGGGGAGCGAAACGGGG